GACGAACGCUGGCGGCGUGCUUAACACAUGCAAGUCGAACGGAAAGGCCCUGCUUUUGUGGGGUGCUCGAGUGGCGAACGGGUGAGUAACACGUGAGUAACCUGCCCUUGACUUUGGGAUAACUUCAGGAAACUGGGGCUAAUACCGGAUAGGAGCCCCUGCUGCAUGGUGGGGGUUGGAAAGUUUCGGCGGUUGGGGAUGGACUCGCGGCUUAUCAGCUUGUUGGUGGGGUAGUGGCUUACCAAGGCUUUGACGGGUAGCCGGCCUGGGAGGGUGACCGGCCUCAUUAGGACUGCGAUACGGCCCAGACUCCAACGGGAGGCAGCGGUGGGAAAUAUUGCACAAUGGGCGGAAGCCUGAUGCGGCGACGCCGCGUGCGGAAUGACGGCCUUCGGGUUGUAAACCGCUUUCGCCUGUGACGAAGCGUGAGUGACGGUAAUGGGUAAAGAAGCACCGGCUAACUACGUG
rnacentral:rRNA from 1 species